rnacentral:hammerhead_ribozyme from 1 species
AUCCAGCUGACGAGUCCCAAAUAGAACGGAACGCGGUUCCUGGAU